GCCACGUCACAUCACUGGACAAAGGACUGUCGCAGGAUGCAUUCUUAAUCACAAUUUGUGGCUAACCACAGCUUAUUUACCAUUUUUGGAUUGGUGAUAGAAUAAAAGUCAGCACCUGAU